CUUGUACACACCGCCCGUCACACCAUGAGAGUUUGUAACACCCAAAGUCGGUGGGGUAACCCUUCGGGGAACUAGCCGCCUAAGGUGGGACAAAUGAUUAGGGUGAAGUCGUAACAAGGUAGCCGUAGGAGAACCUGCGGCUGGAUCACCUCCUUUCUAAGGAUAUGAUGCUUAGCAUCAACGGAAAUACACAACGUUGAAACUUUGUUUAGUUUUGAG
rnacentral:misc_RNA from 1 species